rnacentral:rRNA from 1 species
CCUACGGGAGGCAGCAGUGAGGAAUAUUGCACAAUGGGGGAAACCCUGAUCCAGCGACGCCGCGUGAGUGACGAAGUAUUUCGGUAUGUAAAGCUCUAUCAGCAGGGAAGAAAAUGAAGGUUCCUGACUAUGAAGCCGCGGCUUAAUACGUGCCAGCAGCCGCGGUAAUACGCAGGGAGCAAGCGUUAUACGGAUUUUCUGGGCGUAAAGGGAGCGUAGGCGGGAGGGCAAGUCUGAAGUGAGAGUCCGCGGCCCAACUGCGGGAGUGCCGUGGAAACUGCCCGUCUAGAGUGCUGGAGAGGUAAGCGGAUUGCGCAGUGUAGCGGUGAAAUGCGUAGAUAUUGGGAGGAACACCAGUGGCGAAGGCGGCAUACUGGA